GUGACAGGUGGUGCAUGGUUGUCGUCAGCUCGUGUCGUGAGAUGUUGGGUUAAGUCCCGCAACGAGCGCAACCCUUAUUGUUAGUUGCCAUCAUUUAGUUGGGCACUCUAGCGAGACUGCCGGUGACAAACCGGAGGAAGGUGGGGAUGACGUCAAAUCAUCAUGCCCCUUAUGACCUGGGCUACACACGUGCUACAAUGGGAAGUACAACGAGUCGCUAGACCGCGAGGUCAUGCAAAUCUCUUAAAGCUUCUCUCAGUUCGGAUUGCAGGCUGCAACUCGCCUGCAUGAAGCCGGAAUCGCUAGUAAUCGCGGAUCAGCACGCCGCGGUGAAUACGUUCCCGGGCCUUGUACACACCGCCCGUCACACCACGAGAGUUUGUAACACCCGAAGUCGGUGAGGUAACCUUUUUGGAGCCAGCCGCCUAAGGUGGGAUAGAUGAUUGGGGUGAAGUCGUAACAAGGUAGCCGUAUCGGAAGGUGCGGCUGGAUCACCUCCUUUCUAAGGAA
rnacentral:rRNA from 1 species